CGCCAGACUCCUACGGGAGGCAGCAGUGGGGGAUAUUGCACAAUGGGGGGAACCCUGAUGCAGCGACGCCGCGUGGGUGAAGGAGUAUUUCGGUAUGUAAAGCCCUAUCGGCAGGGAAGAAGCAAGACGGUACCUGACUAAGAAGCCCCGGCUAACUACGUGCCAGCAGCCGCGGUAAUACGUAGGGGGCGAGCGUUAUCCGGAUUCACUGGGUGUAAAGGGAGCGUAGACGGCCAAGCAAGCCAGGGGUGAAAGCCCGGGGCCCAACCCCGGGACUGCCCUUGGAACUGCAUGGCUGGAGUGCGGGAGGGGCAGGCGGAAUUCCUGGUGUAGCGGUGAAAUGCGUAGAUAUUAGGAGGAACACCAGUGGCGAAGGCGGCUUACUGGACUGUAACUGACGUUGAGGCUCGAAAGCGUGGGGAGCAAACAGGAUUAGAUACCCCGGUA
rnacentral:rRNA from 1 species